rnacentral:misc_RNA from 1 species
AGUCACUAUUGAGUGUUGCAUCAGUGUGCUUUACAGCUUACUCCAAACCCUAACAUCCCAAAAUUUCAAUUUCGAAUUUCUCAUUUUAUACAUAUUUAUUCAAAUCAAUAUUCGAGAAAGUAUUUCUCGAUGUCGUCUUCUAUGUUCAACAACCACAGCAUUUCGAUCUCCGUCUCAGACGAGGAAUCGGACGAACUCGGCCGGAUGCGGGUGCGAGUCCGAAGAAAGCGCAAGAAACAGUACGGUCACCGAGUUAAGAAUGAGUUGUCUCAGCUUGUUCUAAGGUUCCUCUUGAAAUAUUGGAUGGUUUUUAUUUUCCUUCCCGCUGCUGGGUUACUUGUGUUCGAAGCCUCGAGAAUCGGUAAAGAACCGAGUUUGGAUGUGGAAUUGGAACGUGAUGUAAAGAAGACACCGGAUUUGAAACUCAACCAGACUGUUGGCGAAUUAAAGAAGAAGAUGGAAGAUAAUUUGGAUCGGCUUGAUCCACCACGUAAGUGAUUUUUGAAAAUUUGUCAUCAAAGUAUGGAAAUAGAGCUGAAAGAAUUUUCCAAUGGCGAUGUGUGCUUUUUACAUUAUUGCAAUACCUAUUUAGCAUUUAGUCUCUGUUUAAGGGACCAGUCAUUGGGUUUCCAACAACUAUACGCAGAUAAUGAUAUGCUUGAUAAAAGAUGACUCUUUUAUCUCUUUAUCGAGCAUGCUUAGGGGACAUAUGUUAGUUGUAGCACUUUAAAGUUAUUUAUCACCUGAACUCAAUGGUGUUACUGGUUGCGGCAUUUGGGCUUUUGGAAUAUUUAAACAGGUAAUUAUUUACAUUUAGCUGCAGGUCAUGUCUUUGAUAAUCUGAAAUCUAGUGGAUGUAAAACUGUGAAAUUGAAAAGCCAUCAGCUUGUGACACUCAUUUGUGGAUGGUAUCAGGUUGCUUGAAGCUACUACCUCCUGAAGAACUUCAACAUCUGGAAAUUCCCAUGCAUGAUGAAUCUAAUCUUGUUAAAAAUGUGGUAUACAUAUCAGAAAAAGACGCACAACAUGAAGAAGGCAAUAGUACAAUCUCUAAACUGAGCACAGAUUUUACGCGAUUUAAUCUAUUUACCGGGUACCAGACACUUGACCAGCGAGAGAGUAGUUUUAAGGUUAUUAGUUUCAUCUUCACAUCAUUGGACAGAUUUAGGAUGGUUAGACGAUUUGUAAAAUUAAUGUUAGAUUGCAACUUUGGAAUGUGAAAUUCUCUGACAUUAAACUUAUGUAAAUUAAUGUAUUUGCUCAUAUUGUAUGGUAAUUGUGGCUUUCAGGUGAGUGAAACGGCUCAAAUACAUUGUGGUUUUUACAGUGAAAAUGGAGGGUUUAAGAUUUCUAGUGAGGACAAAAUUUACAUGCAAGCAUGCAAAGUUGUGGUGUCUACUUGUGCAUUUGGUGGUGGAGACGACCUUUAUCAACCUAUUGGAAUGUUACACGCAUCGCUUAAAAAGGUUAGCUUCAGGGAUGUUGAAAUCAAUCUUUGCUGUUUUGACAUCAACAAGCUCUAUGUGUAUUUUGACUAUAUUGGUUGCAGGUCUGUUAUGUUGCAUUUUGGGAUGAAAUUACUGUAGCAGCUCAGGAAUUUAAGGGGCGCCGAAUUGGUGAGGACUACUUUAUUGGGAAAUGGCGCAUUGUGGUUGUUAGGGAUCUUCCUUUUACAGACCAAAGGUUAAAUGGUAAAAUCCCGAAGGUAUCAAAGUUAUGACUUUUAAUUAUUUUUGAGGUGAUGUUGGAAAGAUUACAUAACUGCAUAUGCGUGUAUGUAUGCAUGUGAUUGUUACAUACAGCUGCUCUAUUUUUUUUUUUUCACUUCCUCUGAGUUAAUUUUUUGGUUGUUUUCAUCUGUCUAUUCCAUGCCCCAAUCUCAAACAAAUUUGACUUAUUCCAUAUGGAGCUUGUGUUCCUGUGAAUGUAUAAACUGAAUAACUGAUGGUUCUUUGGUUAUUGUUUUUGUAAGGAGGCCUUGUGUAAUCUGCUUUUCUUUGCUGCUGUGCCUGUGCAUGCUUGUAAAUUUCCAUUUUUUGUGGUAUUCUGCUAUUUGAAUGUUUUUGUGCCGAUUUAUAUUCACUUCUGCUCUUGUCAGAUGCUGGGACAUCGCCUCUUUCCUCAUGCCAAGUACUCUAUUUGGGUAGACUCAAAAUCAC